rnacentral:rRNA from 1 species
AUUGAACGCUGGCGGCAGGCCUAACACAUGCAAGUCGAACGAGUGGCGGACGGGUGAGUAAUGUUUGGGACAUCGCCUGAGGGAGGGGGACAAAUACUGGAAACGGUAGCUAAUCCCGCAAACCAUCGUAUGUGCCCAGAUGGGAUUAGCUAGGAGGUGGGGUAAAGGCUCACCUGGGCGACGAUCCCUAGCUGGUCUGAGAGGAUGACCAGCAACACUGGAACGGAGACACGGUCCAGACUCCUACGGGAGGCAGCAGUGGGGAAUAUUGCACAAUGGGCGCAAGCCUGAUGCAGCCAUGCCGCGUGUAUGAAGAAGGCCUUCGGGUUGUAAAGUACUUUCAGCGGGGAGGCGUUACCCGCAGAAGAAGCACCGGCUAACUCCGUGCCAGCAGCCGCGGUAAUAC